GGCCAAAUGGAGCAAUCUCCACAAUUUGUGCGUUCCUAGCUUAAGAUCGAAUGACUUUCCUUCGACUUCCAUUGAGAUUGGUACGAUUUAGUACUAAUUCCAGCUUGCUCAUCUUUAUCCUCUGAGAUUUUGAAUUUCGGUGGGGAAUUUGUUACUCCUUUUCUAAUCUAUCCCCCCACUUUUCUCAACCCCUAAUCUCCCCCUAUAUGUAGUCUAUUCGAUUUUCUGAUUAAGGAAUUUUUUUUAGGGCUAAAAAUUUAGGUUUGGAAGGUUUAGUUGGAGUUUUA
rnacentral:misc_RNA from 1 species